UUUAACUGAAGAGUUUGAUCAUGGCUCAGAUUGAACGCUGGCGGCAGGCUUAACACAUGCAAGUCGAGCGGGGGAAGGUAGCUUGCUACUGGACCUAGCGGCGGAC
rnacentral:rRNA from 1 species